rnacentral:misc_RNA from 1 species
AAUCAAGUUUAGUUUAUUAACCUUAGUGCAGAAAAUUUUUCCUCUUCAAACCUCUUCCUUUCUUCUUUCUUUAUUCUUCAAUCACCUCUUCUAGUUGCCAAAACAAGCUUUAACCAUGGUAGAGUAAUUUUCUAUGGUGAGAUUUUUGGUUUUUCAAGCUCAAAGAUGAGCUUUCAUGGAGGUUUUAAGGGUGAGAGAGCUUUGGGAGAAAGAGAGAAAGAGAGCUACGGGAAAGAAGAAGAUG